GAUGAACGCUGGCGGCGUGCCUAAUACAUGCAAGUCGAGCGAACGGACGAGAAGCUUGCUUCUCUGAUGUUAGCGGCGGACGGGUGAGUAACACGUGGAUAACCUACCUAUAAGACUGGGAUAACUUCGGGAAACCGGAGCUAAUACCGGAUAAUAUUUUGAACCGCAUGGUUCAAAAGUGAAAGACGGUCUUGCUGUCACUUAUAGAUGGAUCCGCGCUGCAUUAGCUAGUUGGUAAGGUAACGGCUUACCAAGGCAGCGAUGCAUAGCCGACCUGAGAGGGUGAUCGGCCACACUGGAACUGGAACACGGUCCAGACUCCUACGGGAGGCAGCAGUAGGGAAUCUUCCGCAAUGGGCGAAAGCCUGACGGAGCAACGCCGCGUGAGUGAUGAAGGUCUUCGGAUCGUAAAACUCUGUUAUUAGGGAAGAACAUAUGUGUAAGUAACUGUGCACAUCUUGACGGUACCUAAUCAGAAAGCCACGGCUAACUACGUG
rnacentral:rRNA from 1 species